UGGGGAAUAUUGGACAAUGGGCGAAAGCCUGAUCCAGCCAUGCCGCGUGUGUGAAGAAGGUCUUCGGAUUGUAAAGCACUUUAAGUUGGGAGGAAGGGCAGUAAGCGAAUACCUUGCUGUUUUGACGUUACCGACAGAAUAAGCACCGGCUAACUCUGUGCCAGCAGCCGCGGUAAUACAGAGGGUGCAAGCGUUAAUCGGAAUUACUGGGCGUAAAGCGCGCGUAGGUGGUUCGUUAAGUUGAAUGUGAAAGCCCCGGGCUCAACCUGGGAACUGCAUCCAAAACUGGCGAGCUAGAGUAGGGCAGAGGGUGGUGGAAUUUCCUGUGUAGCGGUGAAAUGCGUAGAUAUAGGGAGGAACACCAGUGGCGAAGGCGACCACCUGGGCUCAUACUGACGCUGAGGUGCGAAAGCGUGGGGAGCAAACAGG
rnacentral:rRNA from 1 species